AUCUCUUGGAUCUAGGCUGCUUCCUGAGGAGGAGUGUUCUGUAGCUAGUGAUCUUCACAAAUUGGGGUAUGCAUGAGAGUUAUGGCUGUGAUACUCUUUAACGUGGGGUUCUCUAGACUGCCUAAAAGUCAGCAUCAGAGGUAUAGCUAACAAAACUUUACACUGAGGCUGAGCUGUACAUGGCCUAAAUAUAUUUCUGCCUCCUCAGACACAGAAGAAUACAAGCUUAUCUCAAGCUUGGGAGCCACAUAAUUAUAAAACAGCAUUCACUUAUUUUCCAAACUGACAGGAGGAGUUUGGAAUGGAGGACCUGUGCCAUCAGAUGUGUUUUCUCUCUGUGUAGCAAUGGGAGAUCAGAGAAGGCCUGAAAAAAGAAACUUUCUGUUCUUGUAGCCCCUGGCAUUGUAUCUCCUUGCUUUCAUAAGUUGAUGCAUAUGUUGCUUAUGCAUUGAACCAACCCUAAUAAUUCUUAAAGAAAACUUCUGAACACUGCUGUACCUGAGGUACUUCAGUAGUUUGUUUCUUUUUAAUUGUUACGUAUCUUUACAGUUUAAUGAAUGACAGCUGCUCAUAUAGACUAGUUCCGAACACAAAAAUACACACUAGGGUAUUCAUGCUUCUUUUUUCCAUUUAACUUUAAAAAUGGGAUUCUCUCAGCCUGCUUCUUUUUCAGAAGAGUAUGUAUUGACAAACGACAGUCCCUUAAUGCUUUCUGACAAUAACAGUGAUUUUUGCCAAUUUGAGCUGCCAGCAGUAACGACUGUCUGUUAAAACAAACAAUUAAUGAAUGUGUCCAAAUGAUCUUUUACCAACUGCUGUCUUUUAGAGUCAACAUUAACUUCUCUAUAGCAUUUUCAGCAAUUUUAUGAGUAAAUUCUGUCAAUUUCACAGAAUUUUAAGUGUAUAAAGGUAACUAAUUUAACGGACAAUUUGUAUGCAAGUUAGUAUGAAUAACAUUGCUAGUGCUAGUCUAGUUCUGCAACUUACCAUGAGCACAUAGGUUUACAUCAACAGAUAUAACUGUAGGGGUAGGAGGAGUACUAGUCAGUGUGAAAAUCGUUCACAUAGAAGACAACUAAAAAGUAUAAAGACUUGUUUGUAUCUUUGUGUCAGCACAAAUGCUUCUGGAAUUACCCAGUGGCAACAUCCGUUUAUAAGGGCAACUGGGAGCAUAUGUAAGCAGUAAUGGCUGUGCUGACCUCUAUAAAAGUCUGCAUCUCAUUCUUGAUUUUAUAAAUUCCUUUAAAAUACUUUAAGGCUCUAUUCACUGAGUCAUGUUAAAAUGAAAAAGAGUAAGUCUCAAGUCCAUGCCACUUCUCUGUAGGCACUGUAGAGAAAAAGAAAUUCCUUCCAAUCAACAUCUGUGGUGUGCAAGCAUUAGGGAAUGAGCUACAGAGACUAUUGGAUUACAUAUAUCAUGUAGUUCAAGAGUCUUUGGAACAACACACAUUCCUAGAAAAUACAAAAUCAUGUUCAAGGGACCGCAGAUAGAAUUCAGGAGUGAAAUUUCCAUCUCAAUAGCAUACUUCCUGUAGGGUCAUUUAACAUUAAUAACACAAUUCCUUGUAUGAUAUGUAUUACUGUUUUCUUGUUCCAUGUAAUUUAUACUAUAUAUACUGGGGAAGGUUCUGUUCAUCACUAAUUGGACAUGACUGCAGUAUUCCUUUGGCUGGUUGUAAGGAUGCAGAAUUAUGAAUUGGUAAACUCACCAGCUGAUUUUGAAAAUGCAAGGGGAAGAAAAUGAAAUAGGACAAAAUCAUAUUUCUAUGACUUUUACUUUGUCCUUUAAUUAGUCAUUAAAUUUAGCAGAUAGAAAAGGUUUUUAGCCCUUGAGGAACAAGCCAAACAUGAAAUAUUUUUACUAAAAUGGCUCAGACAAUUUCCAAUAAAAUAAGAGAAAAAUGGCUCAUGGAGAAUGUUUGUCUGCUAUGCUCUUGGUCAGUAGCAAUUAAAAUACAAACUGUAGAUUAUCCUUUGAAUGGGAAAAACCAUAGGUGAACAUCACAGCUGCCUUCUUUCAUCAAAUAGAUAAAAAUUUCAUCCUGCUAAGCAUCUGGAUAGUGUCACUUUAUUCCCAAUUACCUAUCUGCAGCUUCCAACUCAAAAUGAAAAUAUGGUAGAAACAUUUGAAGGAAGACAAUAAGCUUAGUUUUGAAAGAAAGCAAAUAUCUUGCUCAUUUAUUUAGUUAACUGUUCACUUGAGGCUGAUGAGAGAAGCUCACUUAUUUUGUUAUAUUGUAUGUAUAAUUAAAAUUUCAUAUAAGUGCAAAAUAAUGGUUAGAGAAUUAAAACACAACAAAUGCUAGCCUUAGGAUACUGCAAAAUAGGGUGUUCUACAGGAAAAUAUUAUGUUAUGAAUUUGAAAUUACAUUUCAUUUCUAAAGUAUUUUGAAAUAAAUUAUUAUCAUUAACCUGUAUUUUUUUUGAAUUUUAAACCAAUGGUUGUUGCUAAAUAUUUUUAGCUAUAAAUUCAUGACUCUCUUCACACGCUUAAUGAAGCUAUUCAUAUGUCAAAAAUUAAAUCUGUGUCUUAAUUCUUUCAGAGUAGAACUACAGUAAUUAUGUUAGCAGUUGUUGACGUGAAAUAUAUUGCAAUACUAUUCUAGGUUUGUUUUUUAAAGGCAUAAUAUAUAGCAUUGUUUAAUCUGUGAAACAAACACAUAUCCUUUCUCUCUGUUACAUGAAAAGAAAAAUCCAGUAUAAAAUGGUUUUUAUUGUUAUAACAUACACACUAUAAGAAAGCAUUCUGUAAAUUAUCUCCAGGUUACAUUGGGUCUGAGAUGAUCUUUGAUACAUUUCCUUUGCAUAAUAUAGCAGAGCACCAUGUAGUCAUGUACUUUUAAUUAUCAUGUGAUUGUUUUGAUAUUAAAAUGUGAUUACUUGAAAUAAAAUAUUAUGUGAAUUUUAGUU
rnacentral:lncRNA from 1 species